CAAUCAAGCACGAGACAUGGCCUCCUAAGCAGAAUGGGCUCUGGAUAGUCUUCUCUUCCCUGUCCUCCCCGAUGCUCACCCCCCUUCUCCUGUCCUGGGCUUGGUAUGCCUGUGUCCAGCUGCUAUGUCUACAUUCUGGUUGUGGUCCUCCCAGGCUCACCACCCGAGCCUUGCCUGAGUAAAGGCCUGUGGGAAAUUUCACUCCGUGGUUUCUGUUUGGGGAGGGUUCUGUUCCUACCUAAUUACUGUCCCAAGAAGAAAUUACCUGGUACCAAGAAUGGCAGAGUCUGUGGAAGUGGCCACCAUGUGUCUGGGCUGGGAUCUGGGUCCUAAGGAGGUUACAGCGUCUCCCUCCCAUGCAAAGGAGCAAUCCCAGAGGAGUAGCAACGUGUGAUGAGGAGCACUCCUUCCUCCCUGGGAACCAGCACAGGGCAGCUGCACACACCAUACCCACAGCCCCGUUAGGUUGCAUGAAGCCUCAAGUCUGUGACAAGAUCUUGGAAGACAGAGAUCAGCCUUCAUCAUCUACCACCAUCAGGUACUGGGGGUGGGGACGGGGCUCAAGCUGACACCCUGAGAUGACUACCAGGAACUUUGAGGACGACACUGAGUGGCUACAACAGAGACCGUGUAGUUCACUAGGCCCAGAUGUUGACUCACAGGCCACAGGAAGAGCAAACAUUCGUCUCUACACUGUGGGCAGCAGGACAGAACGAUGGAGACACUUGCAGAUGGCCUGCUUCUCUGAAUCCUCCGGUCUACACGGACCUUAUCAGCUGCAGUCCUAGCUGCACACCACCCUCAAGAACACCCUGCGCGCUUACAAGGAGCUUUAGUCACCUUUGAAGAUAGCAGCUUCCAACUCACCAAAACCCUCUACCACGUGAUGCUGAGGGGCUCUCAGAGGGGCUGCGUCCUGCUCCUGGGUGGGUCUUCUGUCCAUUAAACCUCUCUCUUAGCCCUCAUGGCUUAACAUUCAUAUUAAAAACCCCAACUAUGCGUAGUGAGGAGGUUUAGCCGUUGAGAGCACAGACCACUCCUGUAGAGAACCUGAACAUGUACGCAAUUUUUUAAAAAAAUAAUAAAAUAACUCUUGAAAAGAAAAGAAGAAA